rnacentral:rRNA from 1 species
GUAGGGAAUAUUGGACAAUGGGCGGAAGCCUGAUCCAGCCAUGCCGCGUGAGUGAUGAAGGCCUUAGGGUUGUAAAGCUCUUUCAGUAGGGAAGAUAAUGACGGUACCUACAGAAGAAGCCCCGGCUAACUUCGUGCCAGCAGCCGCGGUAAUACGAAGGGGGCUAGCGUUGUUCGGAUUUACUGGGCGUAAAGCGCACGUAGGCGGAUUGGUCAGUUAGAGGUGAAAUCCUGGAGCUCAACUCCAGAACUGCCUUUAAUACUGCCAGUCUAGAGUCCAGAAGAGGUGAGUGGAACUCCUAGUGUAGAGGUGGAAUUCGUAGAUAUUAGGAAGAACACCAGUGGCGAAGGCGGCUCACUGGUCUGGUACUGACGCUGAGGUGCGAAAGCGUGGGGAGCAAACAGGAUUAGAAACCCGGGUAGUCC